rnacentral:rRNA from 1 species
AGAAUCAACGCUGGCGGCGUGCCUAACACAUGCAAGUCGAACGCGAAAGUCCCGAAAGGGAUAAGUAGAGUGGCAAACGGGUGAGUAACACGUGGGUGACCUGCCUUCGAGCGGGGGAUAACGUCCCGAAAGGGACGCUAAUACCGCAUAACAUCCUGCCUUUUAAGAGGUGGAGAUCAAAGCCGGGACCGCAAGGCCUGGCACUUGAAGAGGGGCCCGCGUCUGAUUAGCUAGUUGGUGGGGUAAUGGCCUACCAAGGCAACGAUCAGUA